CCUACGGGUGGCAGCAGUGGGGAAUAUUGCACAAUGGGCGCAAGCCUGAUGCAGCCAUGCCGCGUGUGUGAAGAAGGCCUUCGGGUUGUAAAGCACUUUCAGCGGGGAGGAAGGCGGUGAGGUUAAUAACCUCAUCGAUUGACGUUACCCGCAGAAGAAGCACCGGCUAACUCCGUGCCAACAGCCGCGGUAAUACGGAGGGUGCAAGCGUUAAUCGGAAUUACUGGGCGUAAAGCGCACGCAGGCGGUCUGUCAAGUCGGAUGUGAAAUCCCCGGGCUCAACCUGGGAACUGCAUUCGAAACUGGCAGGCUAGAGUCUUGUAGAGGGGGGUAGAAUUCCAGGUGUAGCGGUGAAAUGCGUAGAGAUCUGGAGGAAUACCGGUGGCGAAGGCGGCCCCCUGGACAAAGACUGACGCUCAGGUGCGAAAGCGUGGGGAGCAAACAGGAUUAGAUACCCGUGUAGUC
rnacentral:rRNA from 1 species